ACGUUGACUCAAUCUUGUGUUUAUUAAGUGUGAGAUUUAUUGUAAUCUUAUACAAAUAUAUCAUAAAUUUGCUAAAGGCACUAAACAGUACAGAGUGUAAACAAAGUGGGUUGGGGUUUUACCAAACACAUUUUAUACUUCUGUGCCCUUAAAAAUCAACAUUUUACACAGGCAGCUAAUUGCACUUUAAUAUAGCAAAAUAUAAAAUACUCAGGGUAGAUAAAAAUUAGCAUUGUAAGUUAUAGUGGAAAAAAACAUAUUUCAUACAACAAAAGUGAUAGAUAUCUAACAAAAUAUUAUAAAUAUAUGACUCCUUUCAUCCCUAUAUGUCACAAGUAAGCUUGACCGUAUCAAUGGAAUAGGACAAUCUACUUUUGACAGGAUGGGUGAGAGGUAAUAAUUAAUUACUGUAAAGUAAUCUCUCCGUGAUACUUCAGAUACACAUGUACAAUUAUGACAUUAACAGGCUAAUAAUUGAUGCACACAACUUCAUGCUUUAUAAACAGGCCAUUUCUUUUUACAGACCAUAUAUAGGUUAUUCUACAGUAUUCCAGAUUUUAUAGGACAUAUUUCUGUUUUCCUUUAAAGGAAAUUGUUGGUAUUUCAGUUAUUUAACAUAAAACCUAAUAUACGAGAACAAAUAUGACUGGGUUAUUAAUUUCCAUAAUACCAGUAAGGUAGACAUUUUCCAAUCAGAAUUAAACACCUUUUUUGCCCCCUAUCACUGUCGUGUACAGUGUGGAGAGAUGAUCGUGUCUCAAAAUCUUAAAUCCUGUGUAUGGAAUUGGUAUCGAAUGAUACCUGGUGAAUAUUUAAUUCCAUCUCUGAUGAGUAUUGCAAAGAUAUAAUGAAACUAUUCCGAAUUAAAAACAUGAAAUUUGGCAAGUGUUACCUGAGUUGUUGUGGAAACAUUAAUAUUAGAAAAUAUUCUGAAGAGUUACCGGUAAUUAAUUUUCCACAGUCAGUUUACAAGUGUCUUAAAAGAACCAAACUUCCAAUAAUGUUAAUUGUGUUUAAAAGAAAAAUGUAAAAAUCCAAACUUUCAAUGACUAAUGGAAAAUCUACAAUAAUGAGAGAAACAAAAAUUAUACAAGCAACAUGAUUGGUUGUUUAAUUUAAUACAGUCAAUGCAACAGACUUAUGUAAAAUAUUGUUUCACAGUCCUCAACUCUGUGGUAAUAAUGUCAACACAGAGUCCCUACUGAGUAUGAGAAAAGCUACAAAAUCCUAUACUGGUACUUUUUGUUGCGAAACAUAGAUAAUUUAUAAAUGAUCAAAAAGAAGAUCAUAGGGAAUCAUAUACAAGAUAGUUGUUCCAUAUUCAAAUUAUAUCAAAUAAUGCCUUGUAUAUUUAUUGUGUUUGCUGUGAAUAAUUCAAGUUUGUUUUCUAAAUAUAUAAUGCAACAAUACACAUAAUAUAAAAUUAAUUUCUUUUUUACCACACAUAUUUCCAGCGAAAGUAAUUUGGAACUCAAAAAUAGUUAUUUGACAGCAAUAAGUUGGAUAAAAAACACCUCUACCAAAGACUUAGAACCCAAAACUUAAGAUCACUGUCUUAAUGUAACAUGUAUGGAAAGUUAUAUCUCCCUUUAAAAACAAUUUCUUCAAAUGAAACCUAUUCUGUAACUAUUCUGAACUCUUCUAGAAAGGAGGUGCAUAUAGCACAGAGUAAGAUAGAUGACAUUUUUCAUAUAUACAGCAGAGAAUACAAUUAUGUAGAGUAGUGGAGUAAACAUUGACUACAACAUGACUAGCUAUGGCACAAGCAAUACAAUGUCCUGAAGACGCCUAACCUGCUGUACGUGUCUUAUAGUACAGCAAAACCUGUCUAAAUCGAGUGUCCUGAAGACGCCUAACCUGCUGUACGUGUCUUAUAGUACAGCAAAACCUGUCUAAAUCAAGUGUCCUGAAGACGCCUAAACUGCUGUGUCUUAUAGUACAGCAAAACCUGUCUAAAUCAAGUGUCCUGAAGACGCCUAACCUGCUGUGUCUUAUAGUACAGCAAAACCUGUCUAAAUCAAGUGUCCUGAAGACACCUAAACUGCUGUGUCUUAUAGUACAGCAAAACCUGUCUAAAUCGAGUGUCCUGAAGACGCCUAAACUGCUGUGUCUUAUAGUACAGCAAAACCUGUCUAAAUCAAGUGUCCUGAAGACGCCUAACCUGCUGUACGUGUCUUAUAGUACAGCAAAACCUGUUAAAAUCGAGUGUCCUGAAGACGCCUAAACUGCUGUGUCUUAUAGUACAGCAAAACCUGUCUAAA